ACCGUGGAGAGAGAAAGAGAGAUACAAAAUCAUUAUUGAAAUGAAAGCAAGACAAUAGGUGGAGCCAAGACUUAAAUAGUUUAAGUUAAAUACAAUACAGGAGUAUAACUUAAAGGUUGCACCAGUGAUAGUUUCAGGCAUUACAGAUUUAAAAUUGGAUGUUACCUUUUAACUCAAAUUUUUUUUUUCAUUUUUCAAAAACAGUG
rnacentral:misc_RNA from 1 species